rnacentral:rRNA from 1 species
CCUACGGGAGGCAGCAGUGAGGAAUAGUGGUCAAUGGACGAGAGUCUGAACCAGCCAAGUAGCGUGAAGGAUGACGGCCCUAUGGGUUGUAAACUUCUUUUAUAAAGGAAUAAAACGAGGCACGUGUGCCUUGUUGCAUGUACUUUAUGAAUAAGGAGCGGCUAACUCCGUGCCAGCAGCCGCGGUAAUACGGAGGAUCCGAGCGUUAUCCGGAUUUAUUGGGUGUAAAGGGAGCGUAGAUGGGUUGUUAAGUCAGUUGUGAAAGUUUGCGGCUCAACCGGAAAAGUGCAAUUGAUACUGGCAGUCUUGAGUACAGUUGCGGUCGGCGGACUUCGUGGUGUAGCGGUGCCCUGCUUCGAUCUCACGCAGCACCCCGAUUGCGACGGCAGCUUACUCCACUGUGCCUGACAUUGCUGCUCG